GACGAACGCUGGCGGCGUGCUUAACACAUGCAAGUCGAACGGAAAGGCCUGCUUUCCCUUGUGGAUUGCGGGUACUCGAGUGGCGAACGGGUGAGUAACACGUGAGUGAUCUGCCCCCAACUUGGGUAUAAGCCUGGGAAACUGGGUCUAAUUCCCGAUAGGACUGCAGGGUGGUGCCUGUGGUGGAAAACGAUUUUCUAGUGGUUGGGGAUGAGCUCGCGGCCUAUCAGCUUGUUGGUGGGGUAAUGGCCUACCAAGGCGGCGACGGGUAGCCGGCCUGAGAGGGUGGACGGACACAUUGGGACUGAGAUACGGCCCAGACGCCUACGGGAGGCAGCAGUGGGGAAGAUUGCACAAUGGGCGGAAGCCUGAUGCAGCGACGCCGCGUGGGGGAUGACGGCCUUCGGGUUGUAAACUCCUUUCGACCGCGAGGAAGCCACCUGGUUGGAAGGGUGGUGACGGUAGUGGUAGAAGAAGCACCGGCUAACUACGUG
rnacentral:rRNA from 1 species